rnacentral:tRNA from 1 species
AAUGAAAUGCCUGAUAAAAGGGUUACUUUGAUAGAGUAAAUCAUGUAGAGUUUCUACUUUCAUUA